UUUAUAUGAGAGUUUGAUCCUGGCUCAGGAUGAACGCUGGCGGUGUGCCUAAUACAUGCAAGUCGUACGCACUGGCCCAACUGAUUGAUGGUGUUUGCACCUGAUUGACGAUGGAUCACCAGUGAGUGGCGGACGGGUGAGUAACACGUAGGUAACCUGCCCCGGAGCGGGGGAUAACAUUUGGAAACAGAUGCUAAUACCGCAUAACAACAAAAGCCACAUGGCUUUUGUUUGAAAG
rnacentral:rRNA from 1 species